GCCGGGUGUGGUGGCUCACACCUGUAAUCCCAGCACUUUGGGAGGCUGAGGUGGGUGGAUCACCUGAGGUCAGGAGUUCAAGACUAGCCUGACCAACAUGGAGAAACCCCAUCUCUA
ensembl:misc_RNA Metazoa_SRP Metazoan signal recognition particle RNA